UGGCCAUGUCCCUCCUUCAGCUAGAAUGAGAGCUCAGGACUUCCAGCUGGGAUGGAGACUUCUCCACUUCAGACACUGAAUGAGAUGAAUCCCAUCCAAUCUGCCUCCUCAAGGCACCAAACCUGAGUUUUUAAUACUAUGAAGACUAAAGUCAGUGUAAGGGAUGGAUGGGAGAGGUUUCCAAAGAGAAGAGGUUUGCCAUCUGGGUGGAAACCUGACCAAGCAUCACAGGAGGGGUUGGGCCCAUCAGCCAAGCUGAACAGCUGUGGGGAAGCUACAGGAAAACCAAAUCACUCCACUGGAAUAAUUUAUAGUGGCUGGCUUGUGGGGAUAAUAACAGAAAAGGAACUCAGCCCUUUCAUCUGCUGUUGCAGCGUGAGGUCCGUGCCAGACAUUUGCAAAGCACCAUUUUCAAGCUGUGAUGGGAGCUUCACCUGGAAUGUUGUGUAAGAAUCAGCUAGGAGAAGGAAUGACACCUCUGUGGCUCUGUGAUGUGGUAUCUCAGGGCUUCACAGUGCAUCCCUUCACCAUGUCCUGUUGGUGAAGUCACAUUAAUCAUCCCGUGUAAGUCCCAGAUGGUCAAUGCCCAACUAGAGGCAUUUUUGGCUGGUCCUUGACUUGUGGUGGUCAUGUUUUUGUUGGGUGAAAGUCACACAGCUAAAAGCACUGUCCUGGUAUACUGACAUAGGGAUCUGGGACAGGGACAUCUCAGACCAUCCCACCUACUCUCUACCACCAGGAAUGUAAACCAUAGGACUUAGAAAGAUCAUUCAUCCCUUGGGUCCUCCUGAAUCUGAAUACCUAUAGAUUACCAUUUGGGUGCCAGACAUCCUCCACCUGAAAAUACCCUGCCAUAUCAUGACCUCCUUGCAUUUGGUUCUCAAGGAUAGGGCAGUGCCUCCCUUCUCUCUCAGCUAGGUGCAUGCUCAGGUGAUUGCACUGAUUUUACUAUUAAUCAGUGAUAAUUUACCUCUGUAGAACGGAGGUAUCUGUAAAUGCUGGCUAUUAGCAGUGAAAGCACUCAAUCAGAUCUAUCAAAGAAAUAAAUAGUAGGGAGAAUACA
rnacentral:lncRNA from 14 species